GAUGAACGCUAGCGGAAGGCAUAAUACAUGCAAGUCGAACGGAUGUAGCAAUACAUUAGUGGCGCACGGGUGCGUAACGCGUAUGCAACCUACCUUCAUCAGGGGGAUAACUACCCGAAAGGGUGGCUAACACCGCAUAAUACUAUUGAGUGGCAUCACUUGGUAUUUAAAUCUGAGGAGGAUGAAGAUGGGCAUGCGUCUGAUUAGCUAGUUGGUGUGGUAACGGCGCACCAAGGCGACGAUCAGGAGGGGAACUGAGAGGUUGGUCCCCCACACUGGCACUGAGAUACGGGCCAGACUCCUACGGGAGGCAGCAGUAGGGAAUAUUGGUCAAUGGUGGGAACACUGAACCAGCCAUUCCGCGUGCAGGAAGAAGGGUCUCUGACUUGUAAACUGCUUUAGCAAGGGAAGAAAAAGCUCAUGCGUGAGAAAUUGACGGUACCUUGAGAAUAAGCACCGGCUAACUACGUGCCAGCCGCCGCGGUAAGAC
rnacentral:rRNA from 1 species